GGGUGAAAUCUGGUGCCUGAGGGUGGUUGAACACGAAGUUGAAAAAUUUUUAAGCUGUUAAAUCUCAGAUAUAAAACAGGAUUAGAUACCCUGUUAUACCGGGAUAAAAAUAAGUCGCUUGAGUAGUAAAUAGUUAUGAGCUCGAAACUUAAAGGAUUUGGCGGUAUCUUAGUCUUGUUAGAGGAAUCUGUUCUAUGAACGAUAAACCACGAAGUAUCUUACUCUUUUUUGUAACUCAGUUUGUAUACCGCCAUUAUUAGAUAGUUUUUAUAAAAAUCUAUUGAAAUAAUUAAAUAUUAGUAUAUUAGGUCAAGGUGCAGCAAAUAAAAGAGCAAGCAAUGGAUUACAAUAAUACAAGUUUACAUGGAUUAAUGGGUGAAACCUCAUUUUGAAAGUGGAUUUAAUAGUAAUACUUGUUCAAUAAGCAAGUAUGAUAAAAGCUCUAAGAUAUGUA
rnacentral:rRNA from 1 species